UUUGCGGCGGUCUCUAAUUCGCUUGGUGCAGGUCGGGAACUAUCGCCGCGCCGGCGGCUGAGCGAGCACGGUUGCGUCGUCGUCUCCGGCGAAUUUAGCUCCCGCCUUGCAUCAACUGAAUCGGAGCCCGCGGUGAAU
rnacentral:pre_miRNA from 1 species